AGCGCUUCUUUUAACUUUUGGACUUGCCUCGUUGUCAUCUGAUUUUUGAGUUACAACAUUUGGGGGCUCGUCCGGGAUCCCUAAAGGCCUCUUCUUUUUAACGCGCUGCCACUCGUAGUCCUUCUUAAAAUUAUGAACACCCAUUACCCUAUUGGGAUGAUUGCCAGCAACUCCUGCAGACCCUCUUCACCUCCGAGGAACAAGACUGCAUACGCAUGGCCGCCCGCGAGGCAGUACUCGGACCUGACGGGACACCAACCACAGACAUCGACCACCAAGACGUUGUUUUUCCCCUCUCACAUCCUGAUUGGGACCCCAAUACUGAACAAGUCCCUCCAGGCCCUCCAGCCAGUGCUUGCCUCCAUCCCCUGGGUUUUUAGACAACAACACCCUGCUCCUGACCCUCUGGUCCCUGGACUCUACCAGCAAGCCGCUGAGCCAAAAAGCCAAGUGCUACUCAAAC